rnacentral:rRNA from 1 species
GACGAACGCUGGCGGCGUGCUUAACACAUGCAAGUCGAACGGAAAGGCCCCAGCUUUCUGGGGUACUCGAGUGGCGAACGGGUGAGUAACACGUGGGUGAUCUGCCCUGCACUCUGGGAUAAGCCUUGGAAACUGGGUCUAAUACCGGAUAGGACCGUGCUUUAGUGUGUGCGGUGGAAAGGUUUUCGGUGCAGGAUGAGCCCGCGGCCUAUCAGCUUGUUGGUGGGGUAGUGGCCUACCAAGGCGGCGACGGGUAGCCGGCCUGAGAGGGUGUACGGCCACAUUGGGACUGAGACACGGCCCAGACUCCUACGGGAGGCAGCAGUGGGGAAUAUUGCACAAUGGGCGCAAGCCUGAUGCAGCGACGCCGCGUGGGGGAUGACGGCCUUCGGGUUGUAAACCCCUUUCGGCAGGGACGAAGCUUUUGUGACGGUACCUGCAGAAGAAGCACCGGCUAACUACGUG